rnacentral:rRNA from 3 species
GAAUUGCAGAAUUCCGCGAAUCAUCGAGUCUUUGAACGCAAGUUGCGCCCGAGGCUCGUCCCGAGGGCAUGCCUGCCUGAGCGUCCG